rnacentral:rRNA from 1 species
AUACGUAGGGGGCGAGCGUUGUCCGGAAUGAUUGGGCGUAAAGGGCGCGUAGGCGGCUUUGCAAGUCAGUAGUGGAAGUCCAUUUUUCAAGGAUGGAAGUGCUACAGAAACUGCGGAGCUUGAGUGCAGGAGAGGUUAUCGGAAUUCCCGGUGUAGCGGUGAAAUGCGUAGAGAUCGGGAGGAACACCAGUGGCGAAGGCGGGUAACUGGACUGCAACUGACGCUGAGGCGCGAAAGUGUGGGGAGCAAACAGGAUUAGAUACCCUGGUAGUCCACACUGUAAACGAUGAAUGCUAGGUGUAGGAGGUAUCGACCCCUUCUGUGCCGCAGUAAACACAGUAAGCAUUCCGCCUGGGGAGUACGGUCGCAAGAUUAAAACUCAAAGGAAUGGACGGGG